AUUGCUGAAGUUAAGUGGUUCCUGAAAGGAAUGAAUGCUGGCUCUGCUACAUGUUAACAUUCAUCCCACUGUCUUGUCAGCUCAGAAGCUACAGCUAGAGCCCUGUUAGCUUGGUAUAGCAUUAACAAGGGAAACCAGCAGCUCAGCUCAGUUCGAAGGUGAAACAGUCCACCUGUCAGCUAGCCUCAUUUAAGCUCCCUAAUUAACACAUAGGGCGUUGGUUUGAUGACUAUAGCUGUACUUAGCUAAGCUAAAAUAACCGCCGCCUGGCUGCUAGCUAGCGUCAUGUACGUAGUUCGCGGUGGUGCUAAUCUAGCAUAACUCGUCAAGAAAGUAAAUUAAGAAGCAUAUUCGCACUCCUCUGUCUGUAAAUACAGAGAGGACACUGUUGCUCCAAAAUAAAAACACUACCGCCGGGCUGCGUAGCCAUGUUGGGAUCAACAGCUCCCUAUUCCCUGGGCCUUGCUGUUAACUCUCAUCCUGCUUCCAGGACGGAUUCAUUUUUUUAUGAAGUUUUCGAGCUACAGAGCGGGACGAAGGCCCGACGUUGAAGGUGACAGGAGGAGAUGGCUGAUGGAGAGUGAGACUGUGAAAUGGAGGGGAAGAGAGAUGGAAAGUGGCGCUUACCCUCAG